GGCUCAGGACGAACGCUGGCGGCGUGCCUAACACAUGCAAGUCGAGCGAGGAGAUCCUUCGGGAUGAUCCUAGCGGCGGACGGGUGAGUAACACGUGGGCAACCUGCCUCAUAGAGAGGAAUAGCCUUCCGAAAGGGAGAUUAAUACCUCAUAACAUUGCAGUUUCGCAUGGAACAGCAAUUAAAGGAGUAAUCCGCUAUGAGAUGGGGCCCGCGGCGCAUUAGGCUAGUUGGUGAGGUAACGGCUCACCAAGGCGACGAUGCGUAGCCGACCUGAGAGGGUGAUCGGCCACAUUGGGACUGAGACACGGCCCAGACUCCUACGGGAGGCAGCAGUGGGGAAUAUUGCACAAUGGGGGAAACCCUGAUGCAAGCAACGCCGCGUGAGUGAUGACGGCCUUCGGGUUGUAAAGCUCUGUCUUCAGGGACGAUAAUGACGGUACCUGAGGAGGAAGCCACGGCUAACUACGUGCCAGCCGCAGC
rnacentral:rRNA from 1 species